rnacentral:rRNA from 1 species
GCUAAAAAACAGUCCAACCAACACACAAACAUCCUAAGAGCAUAAAACAAACCAUUUGACCAACCAAGUAGAUGCGAUCGAACAUUAUAAUUGGCACAAUAACCACAGUACCGCAAGGGAAACAACUAAAGCAAUAAACAGCAAAGAUCAAACCUUGUACCUUUUGCAUCAUGGUUUAGCAAGCAAACCGGACAAGAAGCCCCCCCAGCCCCCAACCCCGAAACCAGGUGAGCUACUUCAAAGCAGCCCACAGGGCGCAUCCUUCUCUGUAGCAAAAGAGUGGAAAGACUUUAAAGUAGAGACGAAAUGCCUACCGAACCUGGAGAUAGCUGGUUACCCAAAUAAUGGACCUAAGUCCCACUUUAGACCACACCACAUUAAAUAGUACUCUAAAGAAAUUCAAUAGGGGUACAGCUCUAUUGAAACAGGAAACAACCUGACCCUGAGAGCAAAUAUUAUACCAUAUACAAGUAGGCCUUAAAGCAGCCACCUUAAAAAAUAUCGUUCAAGAAUCACAUAUAAAAAUGUCAAACCGAACUACAUACUCCAAAUAAACUAAGGGUUAACCUAUCAACAUAGAUAAACCUAUGCUAAAACUAAUAAUAAGAACACCUCUCUCAGCGCGUCCAUCCACUAGAAAUAGAAAAUCUACUAGCAAUUAACAGACCAUAAAAGGAUAUAACCACCCCCUACACAACUUACCCCUAAACUGUGACCCCGACACAGGCGCGCUAAAAAGAAAGAUAAAACAUUACAAAAGGAACUCGGCAACCGAUGGCUCCAACUGUUUACCAAAAACAUAACCUUUAGCUAAAACCAGUAUUAAAGGCAAUGCCUGCCCAGUGAGACAUCUUCAACGGCCGCGGUACCCUAACCGUGCAAAGGUAGCAUAAUCAUUUGUCUAUUAAUUGUAGACCUGUAUGAAAGGCCACAUGAGAGCCAAACUGUCUCUUGUAAUCAAUCAAUUAAACUGAUCUCCUAGUACAAAAGCUAGAAUAGCCCUAUAAGACCAGAAGACCCUGUGAAGCUUUAACUAAACUGUUAAACCAACUAACAACUACUUUAGGUUGGGGCGACCUUGGAACAAAACAAAACUUCCAAAUACCAUAAGCUAUAACUUAUAUAAAGGCUAACACGCCUCCAUACGACCCAGUAUUACUGAUAAUUGAACCAAGUUACUCCAGGGAUAACAGCGCUAUCUUCUUCAAGAGCCCAUAUCAAAAAGAAGGUUUACGACCUCGAUGUUGGAUCAGGACACCCCAAU